rnacentral:rRNA from 1 species
GACACAGGGAGGUAGUGACAAGAAAUAACAAUGCCGGGCUUUUAUAAGUCUGGCAAUUGGAAUGAGAACAAUUUAAAUCCCUUAUCGAGGAUCAAUUGGAGGGCAAGUCUGGUGCCAGCAGCCGCGGUAAUUCCAGCUCCAAUAGCGUAUACUAAAGUUGUUGCAGUUAAAAAGCUCGUAGUUGAAUUUCUGGUCUCGGACAUCGGUCUGCCUCGAACGAGGUACGUACCAGUUGUCUGAAUCCAUCCUCGGGGAAAACAUGUCUGUCAUUCAGUUGAUGGGCAUGGGAUCCUCGUCAUUUACUGUGAGCAAAAUAGAGUGUUCAAAGCAGGCUUAUGCCGUUGAAUACAUUAGCAUGGAAUAAUAAGAUAGGACCUUGGUCUAUUUUGUUGGUUUGUACUCCAAGGUAAUGGUUAAUAGGAGCAGUUGGG